AAGUUACAGGAUAUUCUUGCAUUGUUUUUGUGUUCUCCCUCCUCCUUGUUACUGUCGGUGUGUGCCUCACACUGUGACUUCUUCCCCAGAAGUCUAAAAAAGGUGUCUGCCCUCGUUAUUGCUGUCCUGGUGUCUAUGUGCCUGCAUUAAGUGGAAACUGUUUUGGCUAUCUCAUAGAGGGCACCACCUACCCCGUGGCAGAUCGCAGAGAAUAACAUACCACAAUGCAGACUAACACGGCUACCACUGAAACAAUUCUCCAUAGUGACCUCUGGAGCCUUAGUCCUAACCAACAGUGAUCCAGGUGCCAGAACAAAAGGAGGAAACUCAUUAUACAAAGGUGCACUUCUGAGAUCCACAUCUGGACUUUUCCAAAACUGGAGAACGGAACUGGAGAACAAACUUCGGUUUGGCCUAUCAAUGAGUGAGGAGUCAGCAACUACAGAGGCUGAAUUGUGUGGACAAAGUCUCUGAAAAGUAGGGCUGCAGCAGGAGAGCUCUGAAAUGGAACAGAAUUUCUGAAAAACUCACAGGACUCAUAUGCUGCAUCUUUGGAAACUGCUGCUAUGGCAGCAAGGGAGGGAACUCCUACCAUAAAACUAGCUGACCUGUUAAAAAGAAGAAAUUGCAAACAGCUAAACAAGGAGGUGCAAGAGAGUGGGAAAUAUGAAUGCAAUGGCAGAGAGCUCCAGGUGGUCAACAGACAGAUGCUUCAAACUGCUUAUGUCAGCAGUGCAAGCCUACAAUAUAGGAACAUCCUCCCUCUCCAUUGCAACCAAGUGCUGAAAGAUGGAAAAAAAUAUCUUUGCUCUCGCUGUGACAGCAAGACUGAGGAGACAGCAUUAUAAGGGAUGGACAUGUUUGCAUGGUAAAAAUAGGGAGAAUUCAUUCAAUAGAGAUAGAAUUGCAGAUGGAAAUAUAACAGGUUAUAUGAUGAUGGUGAUGAACUAAGAAUAAACACAGAGUUUACCUGUUUAAACAGCCGUCUCCUCUUGCAAACAGUGAACAGAACAACAGCAGCAUAUUCUGCAUAGAUGUGUCUGAGAAACACAGAGGUCAAAAAGUUCCUGGAGAUCUCCCCUACCGCAAACCGUUGAAAGGGCUAAAGCCUAUUACAAAUAGCAAAGGAAAAUGGCGUCUCUCCUUUACAACACAUUCUUCUAUCAAAACACUGGUCUGUAAAUUUGUAAAAUUCAUUUUGCAUAAAUGUAAUAAUUUGGAUAAAAUACAUAUAAUUUAGCAACAAAAUGACUGUAUGGAAGCACAAAAAGGUCAAAACCACAUCUAUAUUAUGCAAAAAAAGGGCAGGGGGCUGCUGCAGGGAAGAGUAAUUUAGUAAAGACAGACAUAACCUUCCUUAUAUUAUUUAGGACAUAGUUGUAGUGUGGUUAGCCCUAAAAAUACAUCAGUUGCAUCUUUAUAGGAAGCAAAACAAGGACUUAUUUAAAUUGUGCAAUUCUGUUUGUGCCCAUCUCAUAUGCAAUAUUGCCAAUCGCAUCAUGAGUGAGGUAUCAAAAAAUGAGAUUUAAAAAAAAUCAUAAUACAUGUGGGGUUCUUUUUAGUUUCUGAGCCAUAGAUUACACUUGUCACAUUAUCAAGUUUUUUCUGCAACCAUGAGAUCUAGAAACAUACUUUUUUCUUUUAAAUGAAAGCUGAGAUUCUCACAUAAUAAUCACUUUAU